CCUACGGGAGGCAGCAGUGGGGAAUCUUGGACAAUGGGCGCAAGCCUGAUCCAGCCAUGCCGCGUGAGUGAUGAAGGCCUUAGGGUCGUAAGGCUCUUUCGCCAGAGAUGAUAAUGACAGUAUCUGGUAAAGAAACCCCGGCUAACUCCGUGCCAGCAGCCGCGGUAAUACGGAGGGGGUUAGCGUUGUUCGGAAUUACUGGGCGUAAAGCGCGCGUAGGCGGAUCGGAAAGUUGGGGGUGAAAUCCCGGGGCUCAACCCCGGAACUGCCUCCAAAACUAUCGGUCUAGAGUUCGAGAGGGGUGAGUGGAAUUCCGAGUGUAGAGGUGAAAUUCGUAGAUAUUCGGAGGAACACCAGUGGCGAAGGCGGCUCACUGGCUCGAUACUGACGCUGAGGUGCGAAAGUGUGGGGAGCAAACAGGAUUAGAUACCCUGGUAGUCCACACCGUAAACGAUGAAUGCCAGUCGUCGGGUAGCAUGCUGGUCGGUGACACACCUAACGGGAUUAAGCAUUUCCGCCUGGGGAGUACCGUCGCAAGAUUAAAAACUCAAAGGAAUUGACGG
rnacentral:rRNA from 1 species